rnacentral:rRNA from 1 species
GAUGAACGCUGGCGGCGUGCUUAACACGUGCAAGUCGAACGGUGAAAGAGAGCUUGCUCUCUGGAUCAGUGGCGAACGGGUGAGUAACACGUGAGCAAUCUGCCCCUGACUCUGGGAUAAGCGCUGGAAACGGCGUCUAAUACCGGAUACGAGCUGCGAAGGCAUCUUCAGCAGCUGGAAAGAAUUUCGGUCAGGGAUGAGCUCGCGGCCUAUCAGCUAGUUGGUGAGGUAACGGCUCACCAAGGCGUCGACGGGUAGCCGGCCUGAGAGGGUGACCGGCCACACUGGGACUGAGACACGGCCCAGGCUCCUACGGGAGGCAGCAGUGGGGAAUAUUGCACAAUGGGCGCAAGCCUGAUGCAGCAACGCCGCGUGAGGGACGACGGCCUUCGGGUUGUAAACCUCUUUUAGCAGGUAAGAAGCGAAAGUGACGGUACCUGCAGAAAAAGCACCGGCUAACUACGUGCCAGCCGCCGCCGUAAGAC